GCGAACGGGUGAGUAACGCGUAGAUAACCUGCCCUUAGGCGCGGGAUAACCAUGGGAAACCGUGGCUAAUACCGCACGGGGUCUGGCCUCCGCAUGGAGGGCAGACAAAACCCCGACAGCCGUCGGGGGCCUUUGGAUGGAUCUGCGUCGGAUUAGCUUGUUGGUGAGGUAACGGCUCACCAAGGUGACGAUCCGUAGCUGGUCUGAGAGGACGAUCAGUCACACUGGGACUGAGACACGGCCCAGACUCCUACGGGAGGCAGCAGUGGGGAAUCUUGCACAAUGGGGGAAACCCUGAUGCAGCCAUGCCGCGUGGAGGAAGACACCCCUAUGGGGCGUAAACUCCUUUUCUGAGGGAAGAAACCCCUGUGUUGCAGGGUGUGACGGUACCUCAGGAAUAAGGACCGGCUAACUCCGUGCCAGCAGCCGCGGUAAUACGGAGGGUCCAAGCGUUGUCCGGAAUCACUGGGCGUAAAGGGUGCACAGGCGGGGCAGCAAGUCGGAGGUGAAAUCCCACGGCUUAACCGUGGAAGUGCCCUCGAAAC
rnacentral:rRNA from 1 species